AGCUCCAAUAGCGUAUAUUAAAGUUGUUGCAGUUAAAAAGCUCGUAGUUGGAUUUCUGGUGGGAGGGAUCGGUCCUGCAUUCUUUGUAGGAACUUGUAUCCUCUCCGGCCAUCCUUGGGUGGAUCUUGUCUGGCAUUAAGUUGUCAGGCAGGGGAUGCCCAUCGUUUACUGUGAAAAAAUUAGAGUGUUCAAAGCAGGCUUAUGCCAUUGAAUAUAUUAGCAUGGAAUAAUAAGAUAGGGCCCUGGUACUAUUUUGUUGGUUUGCGUACCGAGGUAAUGAUUAAUAGGGACAGUUGGGGGUAUUUGUAUUCAGUAUUCAGUGGUGAAAUACUUAGACCUACGGAAGACAAACUACUGCGAAAGCAUUUACCAAGGAUGUUUUCA
rnacentral:rRNA from 1 species